GCCUUCAUAGGCGGAGGGCAACCAGGAGAGGCCGGUGAUGCCAGAAUGAGAUGGAAUGUUGGCCAUGUCAGCGGCCCCGGUGGACAGGGAGGGGGAGGAGGUAGACGGGCAGUGGUCUUCCUAAAAUGCUCAAGGGGAAAAUCGUUUCUGGAAAAGGCAGAGGAGCUGCCCGUGGAAAGCUCCGAGCAAGAGCAGGCCAGGUGCCUUUGGGACACGACACUGAGUCACCGUGUCUGGCCCCUGAAAUAGGACGAUGAAGCAUUAGACCUUGGGAUCCCCACCAUGGAGAUGACCUGUGCGGGGCGCUGAACCCUGAUGGGUCUCAAACCAUGAAGAGCGACGUGGUCAGUCCCACAGGACAAGCAGAUGCUCCCCUUUGACAGAUCGGGAAGGGGGGCCUCCCAGAAGUUCCACAGCUUGUUGGAAGGUGGCUACCGGGAGCAGGUGGUGUGCCCAGCAGUAUGUCCUGGAUGUGGGGGCCUCUCUGCCAUCACCCUUCAGGAGGCUGGAGGUAAUGCCUUUAAUAAAAGCAUCACAGAGGUUAAUUCCAGUCCUCUGAGCGGCAGCGGGAGGGGUGGCUCGCCGUUCAUGAGGGAGGCAGCCCAGCAUUGUGAAGGGACACAGAUGAAUAAAGCCACUGUUUACAAGAAAUUCUAAUCUUAGGGCAGUUCAAGGUAAAGACAGACACCAGCCAGGAACAGCCAAGAACAACACCGCCAGAACACACGGAGCCGGAGGCCUCCUGCCAGACGCCGUUUUUCCUCUAGAUAUUGUCGCCAAAAGACCCACUCAGAAAACCUCUCUGUCCCCUGGGCA